rnacentral:sRNA from 1 species
GAAAGGUUAGGUUCUUCUUCUAAAGGUUGAAGGUUAGGUAUUUUGUUUCGUCUCUGUUCUGAAAGAAUUUGUUUUCGCAUCUUGGUGUCUUCACUGUCAUAGUGUGAUGGAAGUUGUUUGCUGUCUCUGGUGCCCUCUCACCUGGGUUAUUGUUCAGAGUGGUCGAGGCCGUAAAAGCAGGUGUGAACAAGCCAAAGUUGCUCUCCAAGGAGUUUAGCACUAUAAUUAAUGUUGUUGGUUCCUCUCUGAUCGACAGCAUGGGUUUCUUAAAAGACCCUUAUGCAUUUAUAUGCGUUCUUCAAACUGUCCUGAGCACCACAAAUUACAUAUUUAUUCUAUUUACAACUGGAUAUGAAGCCUUAGAAUCAAUUGUUCGUAGCAUUGCCUCUGAAGCAUCAUUUGAAGGAGAACAUGUCCAUCUCAUUCCACCUAUCACAGAAAAAUUGGAACCUGUUUAGUGUAAACAUUGCAAUGGCAGGGACAGGCUUAUACCAACUCUCACCAAAAUUGCGGUAGGAGGUAUUUUUAUUUUAGUUUUGGUUGAUUUCUCCUCCCCAAGGGUUGGAGUUAAAGGGUUCUAGACACAGAUUCUUCGUCUUGUGAUAAUAAGGUUGCAUACACUCACCUUGCCCUGUUCCCCAAAGUACAGUGAACCUCAUACAUCAAGCCAUUAAUUUGAUCAACAAUAAUAAAGUUUACUUUUUCAAGUGUAGUAUUAGGUCUGAUUUAUCAGAAAAACAAAAGGCAAUAGUGAGGGAAGAAACACAAUUACAUUUUCAAAUGAAACUCUGCUUUGUGAUAAUUUCUAUGACACAUCAUAUAUUAACCUGUGUACUUUUCAGGCAUGAUUAUUCCUCUGAAGCGGCUGUGAUGAAAUAAUGAUGCUAAAUAUUUCAUGUUUUUGUGUACUUGGAAGCUGAUGUUGAGGCUGUAAUUUCAGUUGUUCCACAUAUAAUUGUAUUUAUACUUUUGGGUGUGUCGUUCAUUUUUACUUUUACAAGUUUCAAAUUGUUGAAAAGUAUUCUCACUUGUGUGCUACUGUAUUUGACUAUGGUAAAAUACAGGAAUCAAGAUUAGCAAGCAACUGAAUAUAAAGCUAUGUUGAUUUAAUCAAUUGAAUAUCCUUAAGUUGGAUUAGAUAAAUAUUAUUUACUUGCAUAUAUGUAAUCUCUAAUCGCUGAUCAAUGUUACUUUUCCAGUUUUUCUUAAUAUAAUAUCCCAUGCAUUGGUUGUUUUAGAUAAUUGGAAGCAUUGGAGCUGGCGCUGCAGGACUAGAUUUGGGAAAAUAAGGACCGUUGGUACGUAUAGAAUGUUUUGGGAAUCUAAUUUUUCUACAGGAUCCCUUGAAGGGAGACCUGCUAUUGCAGUGGCAUAGCCAACCUGGCGUGGUUCUAUUGUGUAAUUUUGC